CGAAGCCUGACGCAGCACGCCGCGUGAGUGAAGAGGCCUUCGGGUUGUAAACCUCUUUCGCCGGGACGAAAAUGACGGUGCCCAGACAUAAGCACCGGCCCACCUCCUGACAACCCCCCCGCGANUCUAACGGGGGCAGNGUUGCUCGGAAUUUAUGGGCGUAAAGGGUGUCUAAGCGUUUUGGCGUGCCGGGGGGGGAAUCCCUCUCCCACCNUGAACUCCAUUCUAAACCUGUCUUUUUACUUCGANAAGCUACCGCC
rnacentral:rRNA from 1 species